rnacentral:rRNA from 1 species
GGUUAAGCGACUAAGCGUACACGGUGGAUGCCCUGGCAGUCAGAGGCGAUGAAGGGCGUGCUAAUCUGCGAUAAGCGCCGGUAAGGUGAUAUGAACCGUUAUAACCGGCGAUACCCGAAUGGGGAAACCCAGUGUGACUCGUCACACUAUCAUUAACUGAAUCCAUAGGUUAAUGAGGCGAACCGGGGGAACUGAAACAUCUAAGUACCCCGAGGAAAAGAAAUCAACCGAGAUUCCCCCAGUAGCGGCGAGCGAACGGGGAGGAGCCCAGAGCCUGAAUCAGCAUGUGUGUUAGUGGAAGCGUCUGGAAAGGCGCGCGAUACAGGGUGACAGCCCCGUACACAAAAGCGCAUGUGCUGUGAGCUCGAUGAGUAGGGCGGGACACGUGGUAUCCUGUCUGAAUAUGGGGGGACCAUCCUCCAAGGCUAAAUACUCCUGACUGACCGAUAGUGAACCAGUACCGUGAGGGAAAGGCGAAAAGAACCCCGGCGAGGGGAGUGAAAAAGAACCUGAAACCGUGUACGUACAAGCAGUGGGAGCACAGGUUUACCUGUGUGACUGCGUACCUUUUGUAUAAUGGGUCAGCGACUUAUAUUCUGUAGCAAGGUUAACCGAAUAGGGGAGCCGUAGGGAAACCGAGUCUUAACCGGGCGUUAAGUUGCAGGGUAUAGACCCGAAACCCGGUGAUCUAGCCAUGGGCAGGUUGAAGGUUGGGUAACACUAACUGGAGGACCGAACCGACUAAUGUUGAAAAAUUAGCGGAUGACCUGUGGCUGGGGGUGAAAGGCCAAUCAAACCGGGAGAUAGCUGGUUCUCCCCGAAAGCUAUUUAGGUAGCGCCUCGUGAAUUCAUCUCCGGGGGUAGAGCACUGUUUCGGCUAGGGGGCCAUCCCGGCUUACCAACCCGAUGCAAACUGCGAAUACCGGAGAAUGUUAUCACGGGAGACACACGGCGGGUGCUAACGUCCGUCGUGAAGAGGGAAACAACCCAGACCGCCAGCUAAGGUCCCAAAGUCAUGGUUAAGUGGGAAACGAUGUGGGAAGGCCCAGACAGCCAGGAUGUUGGCUUAGAAGCAGCCAUCAUUUAAAGAAAGCGUAAUAGCUCACUGGUCGAGUCGGCCUGCGCGGAAGAUGUAACGGGGCUAAACCAUGCACCGAAGCUGCGGCAGCGACACUGUGUGUUGUUGGGUAGGGGAGCGUUCUGUAAGCCUGUGAAGGUGUGUCGUGAGGCAUGCUGGAGGUAUCAGAAGUGCGAAUGCUGACAUAAGUAACGAUAAAGCGGGUGAAAAGCCCGCUCGCCGGAAGACCAAGGGUUCCUGUCCAACGUUAAUCGGGGCAGGGUGAGUCGACCCCUAAGGCGAGGCCGAAAGGCGUAGUCGAUGGGAAACAGGUUAAUAUUCCUGUACUUGGUGUUACUGCGAAGGGGGGACGGAGAAGGCUAUGUUGGCCGGGCGACGGUUGUCCCGGUUUAAGCGUGUAGGCUGGUUUUCCAGGCAAAUCCGGAAAAUCAAGGCUGAGGCGUGAUGACGAGGCACUACGGUGCUGAAGCAACAAAUGCCCUGCUUCCAGGAAAAGCCUCUAAGCAUCAGGUAACAUCAAAUCGUACCCCAAACCGACACAGGUGGUCAGGUAGAGAAUACCAAGGCGCUUGAGAGAACUCGGGUGAAGGAACUAGGCAAAAUGGUGCCGUAACUUCGGGAGAAGGCACGCUGACACGUAGGUGAAGUGAUUUACUCACGGAGCUGAAGUCAGUCGAAGAUACCAGCUGGCUGCAACUGUUUAUUAAAAACACAGCACUGUGCAAACACGAAAGUGGACGUAUACGGUGUGACGCCUGCCCGGUGCCGGAAGGUUAAUUGAUGGGGUCAGCGCAAGCGAAGCUCCUGAUCGAAGCCCCGGUAAACGGCGGCCGUAACUAUAACGGUCCUAAGGUAGCGAAAUUCCUUGUCGGGUAAGUUCCGACCUGCACGAAUGGCGUAAUGAUGGCCAGGCUGUCUCCACCCGAGACUCAGUGAAAUUGAACUCGCUGUGAAGAUGCAGUGUACCCGCGGCAAGACGGAAAGACCCCGUGAACCUUUACUAUAGCUUGACACUGAACAUUGAGCCUUGAUGUGUAGGAUAGGUGGGAGGCUUUGAAGUGUGGACGCCAGUCUGCGUGGAGCCGACCUUGAAAUACCACCCUUUAAUGUUUGAUGUUCUAACGUGGACCCGUAAUCCGGGUUGCGGACAGUGUCUGGUGGGUAGUUUGACUGGGGCGGUCUCCUCCUAAAGAGUAACGGAGGAGCACGAAGGUUGGCUAAUCCUGGUCGGACAUCAGGAGGUUAGUGCAAUGGCAUAAGCCAGCUUGACUGCGAGCGUGACGGCGCGAGCAGGUGCGAAAGCAGGUCAUAGUGAUCCGGUGGUUCUGAAUGGAAGGGCCAUCGCUCAACGGAUAAAAGGUACUCCGGGGAUAACAGGCUGAUACCGCCCAAGAGUUCAUAUCGACGGCGGUGUUUGGCACCUCGAUGUCGGCUCAUCACAUCCUGGGGCUGAAGUAGGUCCCAAGGGUAUGGCUGUUCGCCAUUUAAAGUGGUACGCGAGCUGGGUUUAGAACGUCGUGAGACAGUUCGGUCCCUAUCUGCCGUGGGCGCUGGAGAACUGAGGGGGGCUGCUCCUAGUACGAGAGGACCGGAGUGGACGCAUCACUGGUGUUCGGGUUGUCAUGCCAAUGGCACUGCCCGGUAGCUAAAUGCGGAAGAGAUAAGUGCUGAAAGCAUCUAAGCACGAAACUUGCCCCGAGAUGAGUUCUCCCUGAGACUUAGAGUCUCCUGAAGGAACGUUGAAGACGACGACGUUGAUAGGCCGGGUGUGUAAGCGCAGCGAUGCGUUGAGCUAACCGGUACUAAUGAACCGUGAGGCUUAACCUU